rnacentral:rRNA from 1 species
CAGUAGCCGCGGUAACACGUAGGGUGCGAGCGUUAAUCGGAAUUACUGGGCGUAAAGCGUGCGCAGGCGGUUCGUUAAGACAGAUGUGAAAUCCCCGGGCUCAACCUGGGACCUGCAUUUGUGACUGUAUAGCUAGAGUACGGUAGAGGGGGAUGGAAUUCCGCGUGUAGCAGUGAAAUGCGUAGAUAUGCGGAGGAACACCGAUGGCGAAGGCAAUCCCCUGGACCUGUACUGACGCUCAUGCACGAAAGCGUGGGGAGCAAACAGGAUUAGAUACCCCAGUAGUCCCUGUCUCUUAUAA